rnacentral:rRNA from 1 species
AGAGUUUGAUCUGGCUCUUCGACUAAAGCUGGCGGCGUGCCUAAUACAUGCAAGUCGAGCGAGCGGAACCAACAGAUUUACUUCGGUAAUGACGUAUGGAAAGCGAGCGGCGGAUGGGUGAGUAACACGUGACCAACCUGCCCACCGCUCCGGGAUAACGCGGGGAAACCCGCGCUACUACCGGGUACUCCGGUGCGGGCGCAUGCCCGCGCCGGGAAAGCCCAGGCGGAGGGGGAUGGCCUCGCGGCCCAUUAGGCAGUCGGGGGGGUAACGGCCCACCGAGCCGGCGAUGGGUAGCCGGGUUGAGAGACCGACCGGCCACAUUGGGACUGAGACACGGCCCAGACUCCUACGGGAGGCAGCAGUGGGGAAUUUUGCGCAAUGGGGGAAACCCUGACGCAGCAACGCCGCGUGCGGGACGAAGGCCCUCGGGUUGUAAACCGCUUUCAGCAGGGGAGAAACUGACGGUACCUGAUGAAUAAGCUCCGGCUAACUACGUGCCAGCA